rnacentral:rRNA from 1 species
AGUAACACGUGGAUAACCUACCUAUAAGACUGGGAUAACUUCGGGAAACCAGAGCUAAUACCGGAUAAUAUUUUGAACCGCAUGGUUCAAAAGUGAAAGACGGUCUUGCUGUCACUUAUAGAUGGAUCCGCACUGCAUUAGCUAGUUGGUAAGGUAACGGCUUACCAAGGCAACGAUGCAUAGCCGACCUGAGAGGGUGAUCGGCCACACUGGAACUGAGACACGGUCCAG